UACGUAGGGUGCAAGCGUUAAUCGGAAUUACUGGGCGUAAAGCGUGCGCAGGCGGUUUGUAAGUCUGUCGUGAAAGCCCCGGGCUCAACCUGGGAAUGGCGAUGGAGACUGCAAGGCUAGAGUGUGUCAGAGGGGGGUAGAAUUCCACGUGUAGCAGUGAAAUGCGUAGAGAUGUGGAGGAACACCGAUGGCGAAGGCAGCCCCCCUGGGAUAACA
rnacentral:rRNA from 1 species